UGCCCCUUGGCAAAAAUAUGUCGUUCUGGACUGGUCUAGUAGCUCCUCUUGAGCGAAAAAUCGGUAGACAAAAUAAGAA
rnacentral:ncRNA from 1 species